GGUCUCGUAGCUCAGUUGGUAGGGCAUGCGCGUACAAAGCGUAGGCGGCGUCCAUGCGUGGGUUCGAACCCCACCGAGGCUC
rnacentral:tRNA from 1 species